UACCUGUUUCGUUCCCUCGGCGGUGUCCGGCAACGGCCCGCCAGAGGACCCAACAAACUCUUUUGAAUUUUUCAGUAUCUUCUGAGUAAAAAAAACAAUAAAUCAAAACUUUCAACAACGGAUCUCUUGGUUCUGGCAUCGAUGAAGAACGCAGCGAAAUGCGAUAAGUAAUGUGAAUUGCAGAAUUCAGUGAAUCAUCGAAUCUUUGAACGCACAUUGCGCCCGCCAGUAUUCUGGCGGGCAUGCCUGUUCGAGCGUCAUUUCAACCCUCAAGCACCUUCGGGAGCUUGGUGUUGGGGAUCGGCAGGGCGUCCUCCGGGUCGCGCCGUCCCCCAAAUCUAGUGGCGGUCUCGCUGUAGCUUCCUCUGCGUAGUAAUACACCUCGCUCUGGAGUCUCGGUGCGGCCACGCCGUAAAACCCCCAACUUUUUUCUGGUUGACCUCGAAUCAGGUAGGACUACCCGCUGAACUUAAGCAUAU
rnacentral:rRNA from 1 species